CGUGGGUAACCUGCCUGUAAGACUGGGAUAACUCCGGGAAACCGGGGCUAAUACCGGAUGGUUGUUUGAACCGCAUGGUUCAGACAUAAAAGGUGGCUUCGGCUACCACUUACAGAUGGACCCGCGGCGCAUUAGCUAGUUGGUGAGGUAACGGCUCACCAAGGCGACGAUGCGUAGCCGACCUGAGAGGGUGAUCGGCCACACUGGGACUGAGACACGGCCCAGACUCCUACGGGAGGCAGCAGUAGGGAAUCUUCCGCAAUGGACGAAAGUCUGACGGAGCAACGCCGCGUGAGUGAUGAAGGUUUUCGGAUCGUAAAGCUCUGUUGUUAGGGAAGAACAAGUGCCGUUCAAAUAGGGCGGCACCUUGACGGUACCUAACCAGAAAGCCACGGCUAACUACGUGCCAGCAGCCGCGGUAAUACGUAGGUGGCAAGCGUUGUCCGGAAUUAUUGGGCGUAAAGGGCUCGCAGGCGGUUUCUUAAGUCUGAUGUGAAAGCCCCCGGCUCAACCGGGGAGGGUCAUUGGAAACUGGGGAACUUGAGUGCAGAAGAGGAGAGUGGAAUUCCACGUGUAGCGGUGAAAUGCGUAGAGAUGUGGAGGAACACCAGUGGCGAAGGCGACUCUCUGGUCUGUAACUGACGCUGAGGAGCGAAAGCGUGGGGAGCGAACAGGAUUAGAUACCCUGGUAGUCCACGCCGUAAACGAUGAGUGCUAAGUGUUAGGGGGUUUCCGCCCCUUAGUGCUGCAGCUAACGCAUUAAGCACUCCGCCUGGGGAGUACGGUCGCAAGACUGAAACUCAAAGGAAUUGACGGGGGCCCGCACAAGCGGUGGAGCAUGUGGUUUAAUUCGAAGCAACGCGAAGAACCUUACCAGGUCUUGACAUCCUCUGACAAUCCUAGAGAUAGGACGUCCCCUUCGGGGGCAGAGUGACAGGUGGUGCAUGGUUGUCGUCAGCUCGUGUCGUGAGAUGUUGGGUUAAGUCCCGCAACGAGCGCAACCCUUGAUCUUAGUUGCCAGCAUUCAGUUGGGCACUCUAAGGUGACUGCCGGUGACAAACCGGAGGAAGGUGGGGAUGACGUCAAAUCAUCAUGCCCCUUAUGACCUGGGCUACACACGUGCUACAAUGGACAGAACAAAGGGCAGCGAAACCGCGAGGUUAAGCCAAUCCCACAAAUCUGUUCUCAGUUCGGAUCGCAGUCUGCAACUCGACUGCGUGAAGCUGGAAUCGCUAGUAAUCGCGGAUCAGCAUGCCGCGGUGAAUACGUUCC
rnacentral:rRNA from 1 species